rnacentral:rRNA from 1 species
GAUGAACGCUAGCUACAGGCUUAACACAUGCAAGUCGAGGGGAAACGGCAUUGAGUGCUUGCACUCUUUGGACGUCGACCGGCGCACGGGUGAGUAACGCGUAUCCAACCUUCCCAUUACUGUGGGAUAACCUGCCGAAAGGCAGACUAAUACCGCAUAGUCUUCGAUGACGGCAUCAGAUUUGAAGUAAAGAUUUAUCGGUAAUGGAUGGGGAUGCGUCUGAUUAGCUUGUUGGCGGGGUAACGGCCCACCAAGGCUACGAUCAGUAGGGGUUCUGAGAGGAAGGUCCCCCACAUUGGAACUGAGACACGGUCCAAACUCCUACGGGAGGCAGCAGUGAGGAAUAUUGGUCAAUGGACGGAAGUCUGAACAAGCCAAGUAGCGUGCAGGAUGACGGCCCUAUGGGUUGUAAACUGCUUUUGUAUGGGGAUAAAGUUAGGGACGUGUCCCUAUUUGCAGGUACCAUACGAAUAAGGACCGGCUAAUUCCGUG